rnacentral:ribozyme from 1 species
CAUCAGUUGGAGAAAGAUGAGAAAAAGUCCGAUAUUGAAGUUAAUUACGUUCUUUGAUCACUUUAAUUUCUUUCUAGUUAAUAUGGAAAAAAAAAAAAAAAAAAAA